AGCGCCCUGUUUCGGCAGGGAGCGGCGGACGGGCGAGUAACGCGUGGGAACGUGCCCUUUAGUUCAGAAUAGCCACUGGAAACGGUGAGUAAUACUGGAUACGCCCUUCGGGGGAAAGAUUUAUCGCUAAAGGAUCGGCCCGCGUUGGAUUAGCUAGUUGGUGGGGUAAAGGCCUACCAAGGCGACGAUCUAUAGCUGGUCUGAGAGGAUGAUCAGCCACACUGGGACUGAGACACGGCCCAGACUCCUACGGGAGGCAGCAGUGGGGAAUAUUGGACAAUGGGGGCAACCCUGAUCCAGCCAUGCCGCGUGAGUGAAGAAGGCCCUAGGGUUGUAAAGCUCUUUCAGAUGUGAGGAUGAUGACAGUAGCAUCAGAAGAAGCACCGGCUAACUUCGUGCCAGCAGCCGCGGUAAUACGAAGGGUGCUAGCGUUGUUCGGAAUUACUGGGCGUAAAGGGCGUGUAGGCGGAUGAUCAAGCUAGGGGCGAAAGCCCAGGGCCCAACCCUGGAACUGCCUUUUAGAACUGAUUG
rnacentral:rRNA from 1 species